rnacentral:sRNA from 1 species
GGAUGAUACGAUGAUAGUGAGGCUCUCGGGUUCUUGGAAUAACAUUUGGGGCUGCAGGGACUGGAGGGGAAGGUUGUGCAUGGGUUCUUUGGUUGUGAGGAAGAUGAAGGUCUCCGGGUCGAGGAUUGGGUCGAGACAGGCGAGGAGAGAAAUUCCUUUCGCCUUGUAGGCUCAUGACGGAUGGUACUUUGAUCUCCAAUUUCGUGUAAAGAUGUGUGAGGCCAAUAUAUUCGUUUCUUGUAUGUGGGAAGGUACUGUACCUUUGAUAUUACAAGCGUGCCUUUUGAAAAUACAUGGGAAAGGCUGUGUCAGCUACCAGGCUAACCUAAACCCGCAAGUAAGAGUUACAUAGUCAUUAGCUCUUUUUCUGUGACGGAAUCAUGCCUCGUUCAAAUUAGCAUUCAUAUAUCAUACAGCGAGAUACGUUUCAGACAGGUGGUGCUUUAUUUAUUGUACUGUUUGACAAAGUUAUACCAGGUUUUAACAGAACAAGGAGAGAAAAAAUGGUAAAAGGCUUACGAAGCCCUAUGGCCGUAUCUUCUUUGCUUGUCGACUCCGAAGAGAAUGAUAUAGAUACCAGAAUAAAAA